CUGCUGCCUCCCGUAGGAGCCUGGUCCGUGUCUCAGUACCAGUGUGGGGGACCUUCCUCUCAGAACCCCUAGACAUCGUCGCCUUGGUGGGCCGUUACCCCGCCAACAAGCUAAUGUCACGCAUGCCCAUCCGUCUCCGGAGUUGCCUCCUUUGGCCGAAAGAAGAUGCCUCCCCUCGGCCACAUGCGGUAUUAGGCCGGAUUUCUCCGGGUUAUCCCGCUGAAACGGGCAGGUUGCAUACGCGUUACUCACCCGUGCGCCGGUCG
rnacentral:rRNA from 1 species